GACGAACGCUGGCGGCGUGCCUAAUACAUGCAAGUAGAACGCACAGUUUAUACCGUAGCUUGCUACACCAUAGACUGUGAGUUGCGAACGGGUGAGUAACGCGUAGGUAACCUGCCUGGUAGCGGGGGAUAACUAUUGGAAACGAUAGCUAAUACCGCAUAAUAUUGAUUAUUGCAUGAUAAUUGAUUGAAAGAUGCUAUUGCAUCACUACCAGAUGGACCUGCGUUGUAUUAGCUAGUAGGUGAGGUAACGGCUCACCUAGGCGACGAUACAUAGCCGACCUGAGAGGGUGAUCGGCCACACUGGGACUGAGACACGGCCCAGACUCCUACGGGAGGCAGCAGUAGGGAACCUUCGGCAAUGGACGAAAGUCUGACCGAGCAACGCCGCGGGAGUGAAGAAGGUUUUCGGAUCGUAAAGCUCUGUUGUAAGAGAAGAACGGGUGUGAGAGUGGAAAGUUCACACUGUGACGGUAGCUGACCAGAAAGGGACGGCUAACUACGUG
rnacentral:rRNA from 1 species